rnacentral:rRNA from 1 species
GACGAACGCUGGCGGCGUGCUUAACACAUGCAAGUCGAACGGAAAGGCCCUUCUUUUGUGGGGUGCUCGAGUGGCGAACGGGUGAGUAACACGUGAGUAACCUGCCCUUGACUUUGGGAUAACUUCAGGAAACUGGGGCUAAUACCGGAUAGGAGCUCCUGCUGCAUGGUGGGGGUUGGAAAGUUUCGGCGGUUGGGGAUGGACUCGCGGCUUAUCAGCUUGUUGGUGGGGUAGUGGCUUACCAAGGCUUUGACGGGUAGCCGGCCUGAGAGGGUGACCGGCCACAUUGGGACUGAGAUACGGCCCAGACUCCUACGGGAGGCAGCAGUGGGGAAUAUUGCACAAUGGGCGGAAGCCUGAUGCAGCAACGCCGCGUGCGGGAUGAAGGCCUUCGGGUUGUAAACCGCUUUCGCCUGUGACGAAGCGUGAGUGACGGUAAUGGGUAAAGAAGCACCGGCUAACUACGUG